rnacentral:rRNA from 1 species
ACGCUGGCGGCGUGCCUAAUACAUGCAAGUAGAACGCUGAAGGAGGAGCUUGCUUCUCCGGAUGAGUUGCGAACGGGUGAGUAACGCGUAGGUAACCUGCCUGGUAGCGGGGGAUAACUAUUGGAAACGAUAGCUAAUACCGCAUAAGAGUAGAUGUUGCAUGACAUUUGCUUAAAAGGUGCAAUUGCAUCACUACCAGAUGGACCUGCGUUGUAUUAGCUAGUUGGUGGGGUAACGGCUCACCAAGGCGACGAUACAUAGCCGACCUGAGAGGGUGAUCGGCCACACUGGGACUGAGACACGGCCCAGACUCCUACGGGAGGCAGCAGUAGGGAAUCUUCGGCAAUGGACGGAAGUCUGACCGAGCAACGCCGCGUGAGUGAAGAAGGUUUUCGGAUCGUAAAGCUCUGUUGUAAGAGAAGAACGAGUGUGAGAGUGGAAAGUUCACACUGUGACGGUAUCUUACCAGAAAGGGACGGCUAACUACGUGCCAGCAGCCGCGGUAAUACGUAGGUCCCGAGCGUUGUCCGGAUUUAUUGGGCGUAAAGCGAGCGCAGGCGGUUAGAUAAGUCUGAAGUUAAAGGCUGUGGCUUAACCAUAGUACGCUUUGGAAACUGUUUAACUUGAGUGCAAGAGGGGAGAGUGGAAUUCCAUGUGUAGCGGUGAAAUGCGUAGAUAUAUGGAGGAACACCGGUGGCGAAAGCGGCUCUCUGGCUUGUAACUGACGCUGAGGCUCGAAAGCGUGGGGAGCAAACAGGACUAGAUACCCUGGUAGUCCACGCCGUAAACGAUGAGUGCUAGGUGUUAGACCCUUUCCGGGGUUUAGUGCCGCAGCUAACGCAUUAAGCACUCCGCCUGGGGAGUACGACCGCAAGGUUGAAACUCAAAGGAAUUG